GUCCGGGUCAUCAUUUCAGUAUUUCUCACCUCUUUCCAUUUUUCUCUCCCCUCUCUCUCUACACGGGUGAAAGCGUCAUCGUCUCCUUCCUCGACCCUGCCGCCCCAUCUGCGGCGCCAGGCCCUCUCCUCAUCCGGCGGCAUGCAGGCCGCGGCUAGGACGGCUCGGGAGGCCACGGAGACGGCAGCCGACUACAUCAAGCAGGCGGCCGCGAGGGCUAAGGACGCCUCUGCCGGGGCGACCGGAACGACCGCGGAGUACUCGAAGCAGGCUGCGGCGAAGGCCAGGGACGCGAUGCUGAGCACCGGCGAGGCGGCGACCGAGUACGCGAAGCAGGCAGCGGCGAAGGGCACGGGCGGGACGGGGAGCCCCUCGCGCUCUCGCCCGCGCAGGAGGCGCCCAUCCUCCUCCCUCCACCGCCCUCCCUCAAGCCAUUGACCUCCCGCCCUUCUCCUCCCUCCACCAUCCUCCCUCAAGCAGGCGAGCCCCCACCCUCCCCCCUCACACAAGCUGACUCCCCGCCCUUCUCCAUGGAUUUGUUUGAUGCUCUCCCGUUUUCUCAUUGCAACAAACUGAAUUUGAGGAUUUUUUUUCCUAGGGAUUUUUCAGCAGAGAUGUGGUGAGAUUCAGUUGGUGGCGGAGGAGCAGAUUCACAAGAAGGCGGAAAAUGAGGGAGAAACCCAAAUCGAGUGGGACGAAGAGAAGGAGUCCUCUGUGAACAAAGGCAAAGGCAAGUCUCGAUUCCGUCAUCCUGCUAUCAGGGGCGCCAAUGAUCCAUGGCGGAUCGAGAAGAUCUCAAGGAGUGUCGAUCUGCUUCCCAUUCUUUUUUCGGCUCAAUUGUUACAAUGCCAAGGGGCCAAAAUCAGCAACAAGGGCGUCCUCAACCAUCCAAUGAGGUUCCAAAAUUAUUCAGCAAGGGGUAUCAAGUACAAAGCAUGAAGCAGAUAUGAUGUGCAGUAUGAACCGGGUCAAAUAAAUAAUUACAUAUGUAGUGAGAGCAAGUACAUUAUUUUUUGUUAGUUAGUGAUGUUGCUUAUAGUUAGUCAAAAGUACUCUCAAUCACUGGCAGAACCAGAUAUAAUAAACUGAGAUCUGCACCAUUAUAUGAUUCGGAUCUACAGGCACAUAUAUUUAACCAAAAUAAUAAAUAGAUCAUGUUUUCACCCCUUAA